ensembl:lncRNA
AGAGAGAGACAGACAGGCAGAGAGAGAGAGAGAGAGAGAGAGACAGACAGGCAGAGAGAGAGAGAGAGAGAGGCAGAGCGAGAGCAAGAGAGAGAGAGAGAGACAGAGAGAGUGAGAGAGAGAGAGAGAGAGAGAGAGAGACAGACAGAGAGAGAAAGAGAGAGACAGACAGGCAGAGCGAGAGAGAGUGAGAGAGAUAGAGAGAGAGAGGGAGAGGGAGAGAGAGAGAGACGGAGAGAGAGAGAGACAGACAGGCAGAGAGAGAGAAUAUGCAAUAACAUUUCUAGCCUGUUAAUACACCCUACCAGCUUGUUCAGAAAGCUCUCGGAAGCGAGCUCAUCUCUUCCGCCGUUACAUUAGUUGCUCAAUUCCCCGUGAGGCAGCGCGUAUGAGGUCGCUUCGCUGGAUACACCAUUACUCAUAUACCAGCAUGACGUUUUCUGUCGCUGCUCAUAACUCCCUGACGUCAGUGCUAAUUUAACACACUCUGUGCCUCAAUGUCAGUUUAAAAUACACACCGCUAGAACCAAAAGAACCAAACAGAGGAGGAGCCCCCCCGGCGUCCUGCCGAAAUCCCCCGUUGACCCUUAUCCAUCACGGCCCCCUAAUAAUCCCCAUCCCUGAACUGGCUACAUCACUCUCUCCUCUCCACUAAUAGCCGGUGUGGUGGGCGUCCUGGCGCGCUAUGGCUGCCGUCACAUCAUCCAGGUGGAUGCUACACACUGGUGGUGGUUGAGUAGACCCCCCCCCCCCCCCCUUCCCCAAUCUAAAGCGCUUUGAGUGUCUAGAAAAGCGCUAUAUAAAUGUAAGGAAUUCGAAGAGAUGAGAGGAAAGGAGAGAAAAAAAGCACUUAAUUCGCUCAACCCUGAUCCGCAGGAAGUGAAAUGUUUAAUCUACACAAGUCUGAUGUAUCCUGGGUACUUCCCUUUAAAAAAAAAUUCAUUCGGUCAUUGAUUGAUUGAUUGAUUGAUUGGUGGUGAUACAGUGGUGCACAGCUAUGGUCUCAGAUCUGAUCUCAGGUCAGGUCUUUCUAUAUGGAGCACGUUCUCCACGUGUCCUCCAGGUUCUCGGGUUCCCUCCCAUCUCCCGAAAACAAGCUAAUUAGUGAACUAGCCACAAUAAAUGACCACUAGUCAUUAGUGAAGGCGUAUGCACGAUGCCCCAGCCUCGUCUCAAGUGUUCCUGGGAUUACCUCCAGACCCAGCACAGCCCUGACCGGGAAAACGUGGUGUCUGAAGACAAACAAACGAAUAAAUGCACCGAUUUAUUAUUUAUUUAAUCACAAACUCGGUUACUGUCAAAUGUUUUGGUCCGUUUUUUUUUUGUUGUUUUUUUUUAAACGUACAUAAACUGUUAAGUUACCUUCAAAACGUACGUAUCCGUACGUACUCUACAGGAUACAAUUCCGACUCUGAAGACGAAACGUCGACCCGAAGAUGAACGCGCACGUUCGAACGCGAAACACUGUGCGAGAUGGGAUUUUAAGAUGUUUAGCGAGUGCUAGCACCGAUUCGAAUUGAAAACGUACCGUUGCGCCAAAACAAAAACAAACAAAAAAAAAACACGACACGCGAGACAUCACCGACGCACAACACGGACGUCAUCGGCGUAUUAAAACUCGCUUCUCCGCAGAACGAGUGAGGCGCCGAGUAGAAUGCUAAGUCGCGUCGCGGACGCGCGCUCUCCGUGACGACGCGCUACAGGACACGGAUGACGGGUGACUAAACCAGAAAGGAUUCACGGCACCGUAUCGCGGUCCGUUUUAUCUAUUGUUAUUUAUUGCUUGCGGGGCUUUGAUCACUCAUACCUCAUUUAUUCCGCAUACCUGCUUUCUUUACGUUCCGACGUCCGACGUUCUUAAGAUUCAGAAAAAUCUCCUCGCUCUUUGAAAGCGUGUACUCGCGUUAGAUCAGCGGUAUGAACUUACACACACGAUGACACCGUCUCUCGCCAUUAUCUCUGGAACCGAUACGUCGUCCAACUAAAGUAUUCCACGGUAUUUUACAUUUUAAGGUGAUUUACGGAUGAUGGUUAAGGGUAAGAGGUUUAAACGCUACACUUCCCGCACCUUUCUAGGUAAGACGACACGCACUAAAAAAGGUACCACCCCAGUGACGAAGAACGGUACACUUCAGUAUCCUUUUGUUUUGUAGCGUUUACUUUUCCAUUUUCCUAUAUAUAUAUAUUUUAAUUCUGGUUUGGACUAAUAGGUAAAUAAAUAAAUAAAUAAAUAAAUCCUCCUCAGACAGUAGGAUCUUUCAUAUCGGUUCUAACCAGCUUUACUGUUUACUUCUGUCCAGGGACGAUAAGGUACAUCUACAAGAUCAAGGGGGGGGGGGGGGGGGGGGGGGAAGAGUCUGCAUCAUCAGAAAGCAUGCACACAUAUCGACCUCAUCCUAAUCAUCACUGCUUGUUCAAUCUGGUUGUGUCAGGCGGAUCCCGGACAGACGCCAAGACCUCCAAAAGACAGAAAACUCCCAGCAGGGAUUAGAGGAUUAUAACCUAGACAACACUAUCGGGCUGGUGGUAAACAAUCUGUCAAUCUCUCUGUGUGUGUGUGUGUGUGUGUGAGACUUGGGCUUAGGAUUGUCCGAGUCUAUCAAGGGAUUCCGAAGAGCAAAUUUAAACACACAGUAGACGCUUUAACCUCUUUUUCCAGUGUUGUGCAAAACGGUUACCGCAGCUUUAAUGUCGCGUUACCGUUACGUCUAUUUUUCUCGUUCUGCUAAAAUCCAGACGAGAAAGUACCUGAUAAAUUUUUAUUUUUUUUUUUAAAAAACAGGAGCUGAUGCAUCCGAUCAUUUUUAUUUAAAUAAUAAUAAUUUAAAAAAAAAAAAAGAAGAAAGUACAAUAUUUGUUCUUGUGAGAGCUUUUUUUUUUUUUUUUUUAAUUAUUAUUAUUUAAAUAAAAAUGAUUUUUUAAAUAAAUAAAAUUAAAAUAAAAUAAAUUUAAAAAAAUUUAAAAAAAAAAAAAAAAGAAAGAAGUACAAUAUUUGUUCUUGUGAAAGCUUUUUUUUUUUUUUUUUUUUUUUUUUAAAUCAAAUAUCAAUUUCUAUUUUAGUUUUAAUUUUAUCCAUUGACCAAGACAUCACCCUGGGCAUGUUCUCUAAUACCGAGCGGACACUGCGGGAAGGAGUAAAAAGUCACCGGGUCGGCUGAAAAAGUCAGACGUUUCUUUUUAAAUGUUUAAAUGUAGUCGCUGGAAUGACGCGCGGCGUACGGAGAGAGAGAGAGGAAUGAAAAUAAAACGACGUAGCGCUCGUACUGCUCGGGAUCUGUUUCGCUACGUGAGAAAUGAAAUACUCGGGAGCUGUGCUGUCAUGGGAAAAUAAUCAACAGCAGGACGGUGUGAUGUAACCCGAUAAGAACAACACCAGAGGUGUCCAGUAUUUAAAGAAAUAAUACGUCUUAUCGCUCGUAUACGACGACAAUGGGCCGAUUAUUACGUCCGGACACGCGCGACGCGUCGUACUUACGAUCCGUCUACAGUUACGUUUAAUGUUGGAGAAGGUCCGUGAAUCGACUUCAUCGGUGAUGGUGUAACGGCUGUAAGCGGCACGCGUUCUUUCACCAAACUCGUUUAAGCUCGUCAUGUUACCAAGAAACCGCCAAACCCUCCGUCACGUGUUAGGGGAAAAAAAAUCUGUUUAAUCCAGACAUAUUUUGCUUGAUUGGGAAAGAGGUCAGAGUUCAGGGACCUGGUCAGUGAUAAGAGGGAAGCAGCUGACCCGAGAGGUGAGGGGGAGGGGGGAGGGGGGACGACAAAAAAACAGUGCGGGCGUUUCUGCUGAUUUCAGCUGCUUUGUGUCAAAUAAAAUUAGAGCUGUAAGCAGGUGUGUGUGUGUGUGUGUGUGUGUGUGUGUGUGUGUGUGUGUGUGUUGCUACUGUUGCAGAUCUGCUUUUCACUUCUGUCUUGAGAUGAAUUUGUAAAUCUGUCUUGGCUGCUUUCUGCUUGUUAUGCAGUUAUUUCUCUCUCCCUCGUUCUCUCUCUCUCUCGUUCUCUCUCUCUCUCUCGUUCUCUCUCUCUCUCUCGUUCUCUGUCUCUCUGUAUAUCUCUCUCUAUGUCUCUCUCUCUCUCGUUUCUCUCUCUCUAUCGUUCUCUCUCUCUCUCGUUCUGUCUCUCUGUAUAUCUCUCUCUAUGUCUAUCUCUCGUUCUCUGUCUCUCUCUCUCUGU